rnacentral:rRNA from 1 species
GAACGACCGCUGGCGGCAUGCCUAACACAUGCAAGUCGAACGAGACCUUCGGGUCUAGUGGCGCACGGGUGCGUAACGCGUGGGAACCUGCCCUUAGGUUCGGAAUAACUCCCCGAAAGGGGUGCUAAUACCGGAUAAUGUCUUCGGACCAAAGAUUUAUCGCCUUUGGAUGGGCCCGCGUUGGAUUAGCUAGUUGGUAGGGUAAAAGCCUACCAAGGCGACGAUCCAUAGCUGGUCUGAGAGGAUGAUCAGCCACACUGGGACUGAGACACGGCCCAGACUCCUACGGGAGGCAGCAGUGGGGAAUAUUGGACAAUGGGCGAAAGCCUGAUCCAGCAAUGCCGCGUGAGUGAUGAAGGCCUUAGGGUUGUAAAGCUCUUUUACCCGGGAUGAUAAUGACAGUACCGGGAGAAUAAGCUCCGGCUAACUCCGUG